rnacentral:rRNA from 1 species
CUCCUUUGACGUUAGCGGCGGACGGGUGAGUAACACGUGGGUAACCUACCUAUAAGACUGGGAUAACUUCGGGAAACCGGAGCUAAUACCGGAUAAUAUUUCGAACCGCAUGGUUCGAUAGUGAAAGGUGGUUUUGCUAUCACUUAUAGAUGGACCCGCGCCGUAUUAGCUAGUUGGUAAGGUAACGGCUUACCAAGGCGACGAUACGUAGCCGACCUGAGAGGGUGAUCGGCCACACUGGAACUGAGACACGGUCCAGACUCCUACGGAGGCAGCAGUA